rnacentral:rRNA from 1 species
GAAUACCGAAGAAUGUUAUCACGGGAGACACACGGCGGGUGCUAACGUCCGUCGUGAAGAGGGAAACAACCCAGACCGCCAGCUAAGGUCCCAAAGUCAUGGUUAAGUGGGAAACGAUGUGGGAAGGCACAGACAGCCAGGAUGUUGGCUUAGAAGCAGCCAUCAUUUAAAGAAAGCGUAAUAGCUCACUGGUCGAGUCGGCCUGCGCGGAAGAUGUAACGGGGCUAAACCAUGCACCGAAGCUGCGGCAGCGACACUAUGUGUUGUUGGGUAGGGGAGCGUUCUGUAAGCCUGCGAAGGUGUGCUGUGAGGCAUGCUGGAGGUAUCAGAAGUGCGAAUGCUGACAUAAGUAACGAUAAAGCGGGUGAAAAGCCCGCUCGCCGGAAGACCAAGGGU